rnacentral:lncRNA from 1 species
GCCUCUGAGGCAGCUCCGGGUGCACGGGGAGAAGGCGUCAGCUCAUGACCAGCAGAGAAGACGAGAGAUUAAGGAGCAGAGCCCAACUCCGAGAAAAGACUCAGCGCGCUUGCCCUCCCUAGCGCUAAGCAUCGCAGGCGGCUGAUUGCGGCGGCAGCGCACCGCGUCCGGCUGCACUCACCGAGCCGAGCCCCCCGCGAAACUCCCCGCAAACACAGGGCGUUCCGCUGCCGAGAGGAGAAACCCAGCCCCUCGAAGUCCCCGGGAGUCCCUAACCACUGACAGCAGGAAGCUGCGGGUGAUGCAUUCCUGCGAGCUACACGCCGCGCU